rnacentral:rRNA from 1 species
AGGCCUAACACAUGCAAGUCGGACGGUAGCACAGAGGAGCUUGCUCCUCGGGUGACGAGUGGCGGACGGGUGAGUAAUGUCUGGGGAUCUGCCCGAUAGAGGGGGAUAACCACUGGAAACGGUGGCUAAUACCGCAUAACGUCGCAAGACCAAAGAGGGGGACCUUCGGGCCUCUCACUAUCGGAUGAACCCAGAUGGGAUUAGCUAGUAGGCGGGGUAACGGCCCACCUAGGCGACGAUCCCUAGCUGGUCUGAGAGGAUGACCAGCCACACUGGAACUGAGACACGGUCCAGACUCCUACGGGAGGCAGCAGUGGGGAAUAUUGCACAAUGGGCGCAAGCCUGAUGCAGCCAUGCCGCGUGUAUGAAGAAGGCCUUCGGGUUGUAAAGUACUUUCAGCGGGGAGGAAGGCAUUGCGGUUAAUAACCGCAGUGAUUGACGUUACCCGCAGAAGAAGCACCGGCUAACUCCGUGCCAGCAGCCGCGGUAAU